UACGGGGGGGGCAAGCGUUGUUCGGAAUUACUGGGCGUAAAGGGCGCGUAGGCGGCCUUCUAAGUCAGACGUGAAAUCCCUCGGCUCAACCGAGGAACUGCGUCUGAUACUGGAAGGCUUGAAUUCGGGAGAGGGAUGUGGAAUUCCAGGUGUAGCGGUGAAAUGCGUAGAUAUCUGGAGGAACACCGGUGGCGAAGGCGGCAUCCUGGACCGGUAUUGACGCUGAGGCGCGAAAGCUAGGGGAGCAAACGGG
rnacentral:rRNA from 1 species